GAGUUUGAUCGUGGCUCAGGAUGAACGCUGGCGGCGUGCUUAACACAUGCAAGUCGAACGAAGCACUCAGGAGCGAUUUCGGUCAAUCCUGUUUGACUGAGUGGCGGACGGGUGAGUAACGCGUGAGUAACCUACCUCGCAGUGGGGAAUAACAGUUGGAAACGACUGCUAAUACCGCAUAAUGCAGAGAGACCGCAUGAUCUUUCUGCCAAAGAUUUAUCGCUGUGAGAUGGACUCGCGUCUGAUUAGCUAGUUGGUGAGGUAACGGCUCACCAAGGCGACGAUCAGUAGCCGGACUGAGAGGUUGACCGGCCACAUUGGGACUGAGACACGGCCCAGACUCCUACGGGAGGCAGC
rnacentral:rRNA from 1 species